rnacentral:rRNA from 1 species
CACGUAGGGCGCAAGCGUUUGUCCGGAAUUAUUGGGCGUAAAGAGCUCGUAGGCGGUCUGUUGCGUCCGCUGUGAAAACUCGGGGCUUAACCCCGAGCCUGCAGUGGAUACGGGCAGACUAGAGGUAGGUAGGGGAGAAUGGAAUUCCCGGUGUAGCGGUGAAAAUGCGCAGAUAUCGGGAGGAACACCGGUGGCGAAGGCGGCUGCUGGGCGUGAUCUGACGCUGAGGCGCGAAAGCGUGGGGAGCGAACAGG